CCCAUCCUCCUGUCUCCUGCUGUGUCCACACUGGAUCCCCCGCUGACGUCCUGGGGGCUAGGAUCUCAUCCCCCCGCUGAUCCACUAGUCUCCUGAGCGCCCCUCCCUGAACCUCAUCCCUGUCUUCACCCCUGUGCCUGGUCCCUGCAAGGGUUAAACCUGUCUUGCCCUGUCAUCUGCAUCCCCCCUGCCACCUGCAGGGGCGCUAGCGCCGAGCUGUCUGCCUGCAUCCCCUCUCCAGCAGCACCACCAGGGGCAGACUCACCGGGGCGCUGAUUGUCUGGUCCCCCACUGCCAUGCUGUCCAGCCGCCUCCUCUGCCGGGCCGGAUCCGGAUUCCUAGUGUGUUCUCCCACCCACGGACUGGCGACAAGGCACCCUCCGCGUUGCAGGCCUCCGCGCCUGACCAGCGCCCGACCGGCGCCCGACCGGUGCGCUCUCACUCUGUCUAUCUGCCUGGGCAUCCCUUCCUGAUCCGCCCGACGAUGGACUCUGGCACCUCAGCGCCGUAGUUGCUGCUCCUGGGCUGAGCCGUUGGGGAGGUCGUGCCCUUCUCCUCGGCCUCUUCUCCAUCACCGUGGGUGGGGAGCAGACAUGCUCGGGACCCUCAAUUGGUCCUGCAGCCAAGACAUCCCCUUCUCCUCCACCAUUCUUCAGACACCAGCCAGGAUCUCAUCAGCAGAAGCCAUACCUUAAAGAGAAAGAACAAACCACACAGACCUGCUACAAGUAACAAGUAAGUUACGAUGGCCACUUCACUAAAAUGGCCAUUAUUUAAACCACUACUCUCCUCCCCUCAAACUAAAUAUCAAUUUUUUCCACACCCCUUGACUCUAACUUCACCUGCCCACUCUCUGGCCCUGUCAAGGCCCACUCCCCCACUGCGUUGUUCCAUGGGCUUCAAGAAGAGGGGUUGGAAGACAGAGACCACGCCAUUCUCUUUCCUCUGCUAUUUUUCCUGCUAUGCAAUUCAUCUUUCAUCAAUGAGGAAAGAAGAUCUGUAUAGUAAAGGAUAGCUUCUUCCCGGGAACUAAACUUUUUUUAUUUUUUUAUUUUUUAUUCUUUAUUUUCUUUUAUACAAAAUAUAACAAACAAACAUCCGCUCUCUCGAGCAUAAUGCAUG